rnacentral:rRNA from 1 species
UGGCUCACCAAGGCUUCGACGGGUAGCUGGUCUGAGAGGACGAUCAGCCACACUGGCACUGCGACACGGGCCAGACUCCUACGGGAGGCAGCAGUAAGGAAUAUUGCGCAAAGGACGAAAGUCUGACGCAGCGACGCCGCGUGGGGGAUGAAGGUCUUCGGAUUGUAAACCCCUUUCGGGAGGGAAGAUGGAAUGGGGUAACCCAUUUGGACGGUACCUCCAGAAGCAGCCACGGCUAACUUCGUGCCAGCAGCCGCGGUAAUACGAAGGUGGCAAGCGUUGUUCGGAUUCACUGGGCGUACAGGGAGCGUAGGCGGUUGGGUAAGCCCUCCGUGAAAUCUCCGGGCCUAACCCGGAAAGUGCAGAGGGGACUGCUCAGCUAGAGGAUGGGAGAGGAGCGCGGAAUUCCCGGUGUAGCGGUGAAAUGCGUAGAGAUCGGGAGGAAGGCCGGUGGCGAAGGCGGCGCUCUGGAACAUUUCUGACGCUGAGGCUCGAAAGCGUGGGGAGCAAACAGGAUUAGAUACCCUGGUAGUCC